GGACCCACCGACUCUUCCUCACCACUUUCGAUGGACAGCUGUUUGGACCAGUUGAGUUGGCUUUCCUAAUUGGACGCGAGAAUGAAGGAAUGUAUUGGCGGGAAUUCUAUUUGGACGGACUGAUUGUCAGUACGGAUGCAGAAUGAAUCAGCGUCAUCAUCUCUGAGAAAAGAAAACACACAGAAGAAUACUCAAACCGGCAUCCAGCUGCCGCUCUCCAUCACAAACGGGAUCCCGCUCUGGCUUCGCCGCGACCAGAAUUCUUCCUCUUUGUCUUCCUCCUCCCGCUCUCCCCCCUCCGACUCCUUUGCGUCUCCUUCCGACGCCGAAGGUGAAAACAAACAAAAAUCCCAUCCUCAAGCGUCCGGGACGUCGCACCGCCACAAACACGCCAACUUGACAAACCUACGCUCUCGUGGCCGUCCAAGCAAUCUGCUGGAAUUACUAUGAAUGAUUUUGAGAGCUUGAAAAAAAAAAAAAAAAAGAGACAAUAAGAAGAAUGUAAUAUAAUCGAGAAGCCCUGCUCCAGCGGAUAAUGUACUUUUAUUUUGAAAGUUACAUUUUAUUUUAUUGUUUUUUUUAUUUUUAUUUUUAUUUGUUUGCAUGUAAAGUAACAAACGUUUGAUUUGAGCGUGCGAAUGUGAUGACACGGGUGUGUGUGUGUGUGUGUGUGUGUGUGUGUGUGUAUGUGUGUGGGUAGCGGUAUGAGUGACAACGUCUUUGAAGUACUAUCAGUAAUUGUGUCGGUUUUCAUGCCACUGUCGAGGAAGAGAAGAUAACAGACUUAUUGUUUUUGACAUGAAAAAGAAAAGAACAAACCCUGGACUGUUUUGUUUUUUUUUUUGCUUUUUUGUCGUUCAAAAAAAAAAAAAAGGGUUGUGUGUUGAUCCCGUCGUGCGAACUACUUACUCAGCAACAGCAUUUAUUACACAGCUUUGUUGGAAUGCAGCUCAUUCGCGAGCGGACACACAGGAGACAAAGAGUGUCGAGUGUGACGAAAAGCCUCCCGUCCACAGAAACACUCCGAACUCAAGACAAGAGUUUUGGACCCUCCGAAGCUCACGACAAGUCGGGGAAGAAAUGUCGGAACCGGCUCUAUUCUCUCUCUGUGAGGAAAUGGGGGCAGUUUAAAAUGAAGCACCUGUACACAACAAAGGAUCCGAGAAGUGAGGACAAGGUGUCUAAGAAGGGAAAUCUGUUGGGUUACUUUUUAUUUGUUUUUCCAGAGCACAUCAUACAGCUACAGGUUCAACCCAAUGGACUAUAUUCCUUUUUUUGUUCCUUUAUCUCUUCAAACUAUACUUAUGCGAAUGUUUCUGAACUCGUAAGUGACGCUUGAUAUAAUACAACAACACCUCCGUCCUUAAUACAGCUCUACAGCUCUUUUCCCUUUUUAUUGUUUAGGCAACGCGUCGUUCUUUUUGGGUUUUUAUCUAUCGUGAAGAAAAAGGACCUGUUUGGAAAUAUGCAAGACUUGUUGGGAAGGAGAAGGAAACCAGAAUGUACUGUAAAAUACUUUUUUCCUUUACUUAAAUGUUGGACGAUUUGAAAAAACGAAAAAUGAAAAAAAAAAUAAAUAACAAAACGCAAGAGUUAAUGUUUGUCAUUGUAUGUCUUCUGAUGCCAUAUGAUCUAGACAUGUAGAUCUAACAUUCUCUCAAUCUUUUUUUGUACUUUUUUUUUUGACAUGAUCAUGUUUUUUUUGGCUUUGUUUGUUUUAUUUUGUUUUUUUGUUGUCAAGGAGCUCUAGGUACAUGUAACUUAUGUCAUUUAUUUAUGUCCUUUUAUAUCUAGUUUGUAAAAUAAUAGCCUAAAGUGAAGAAAAUAAAGGGGUGCCAAAGUGCAUUCUUAAUAAAGUAGAAACCAUAUGACGAU